AAGCACAAAGCUCUUGGAUAGACAAAACAGCAUUUAUCUGCUGACUAAUCUAAAAUGGAAGAUGCUAAUACACAGUUUGUAUCCUGGCAGAAUGGAACCUAUAAUGAUGAAGACAGUCUUGCUGCUGACACAUGGAUCAUUCACUUCAUCUAAAGGCUGGGAACUGAUGAUGUUCCUACUAGCUAACAAGAAGUCUGUAAGACUUUGGGAAUGAAGGCCAGCCAGCUGGAGUAAUGGUGAUGGUGGGUGCUCCCAGCUCCAGGAUUCUCCUUGAAUAAUGUGAGGUCAAUGCAUACUUCCUGUACUCUGCCCUACAUUAACUUUUUCAAAUGAAAGA
rnacentral:lncRNA from 1 species